rnacentral:rRNA from 1 species
AACGUUCGUAGUUGAAUUUGUGUCCCACACGGGUAAUGCACCCAAGUGCGGGUUUUGCAUUACUUGUUGCACUGUGCGUUCUGUGUAAAAGCAAGCGUAUAGUGUGACUUUAAGUGUGACGGAUGUUUUACCGGUGAGGGAAACGACUAAUUAUGCCCCUAUAUUGACUUUCGAGUUUGAUAUAGGUAAAGCAUAUUAAUACGCCCCUUAUGUUAAAAGACCCAUUUUAGUGCUCUUUACCGAGUGCUAUUGUGGGCCGGUACAAUUACUUUGAACAAAUUAGAGUGCUUAAAGCAGGCUAAAUUUAAUGAAAAUUAAAACGCCUGAAUAUAUUUUGCAUGGAAUAAUGGAAUAUGACCUCUGGUCUAUUUGAUUGGUUUUUAGAUGCCAAGAGGUAAUGAUUAAUAGAAGCAGUUGGGGGCAUUAGUAUUACGAGGCGAGAGGUGAAAUUCGUAGACCCUCGUAAGACUGACUUAAGCGAAAGCAUUUGCCAAGGAUGUUUUCAUUAAUCAAGAACGAAAGUUAGAGGAUCGAAGGCGAUCAGAUACCGCCCUAG